rnacentral:rRNA from 1 species
AACGAACGCUGGCGGCGCGUCUUAAGCAUGCAAGUCGAGCGGCAAGCGGUAGCAAUAUCGCCUAGAGCGGCGGACUGGUGAGUAACACGUGGGUGAUCUACCUCUGGGAUGGGGAUAGUCUGUGGAAACACGGGAUAAUACCGAAUACGUUGGCAGGGUUACGGCCUUGCCAGGAAAGGUCCGUUUGGACCGCCCGGAGAUGAGCCUGCGGCUGAUUAGCUAGUUGGCGGGGUAAUGGCCCACCAAGGCGAUGAUCAGUAGCCGGACUGAGAGGUUGAACGGCCACAUUGGGACUGAGAUACGGCCCAAACUCCUACGGGUGGCAG